rnacentral:tRNA from 1 species
GCCCUGGUGGUGGAAUUGGUAGACGCGCUAGCUUCAGGUGCUAGUGAUCGCAAGGUCGUGGAGGUUCGAGUCCUCUCCAGGGCACCA